GACGAACGCUGGCGGCGUGCUUAACACAUGCAAGUCGAACGGAAAGGCCCUGCUUUUGUGGGGUGCUCGAGUGGCGAACGGGUGAGUAACACGUGAGUAACCUGCCCUUGACUUUGGGAUAACUUCAGGAAACUGGGGCUAAUACCGGAUAGGAGCUCCUGCUGCAUGGUGGGGGUUGGAAAGUUUCGGCGGUUGGGGAUGGACUCGCGGCUUAUCAGCUUGUUGGUGGGGUAGUGGCUUACCAAGGUUUUGACGGGUAGCCGGCCUGAGAGGGUGACCGGCCACAUUGGGACUGAGAUACGGCCCAGACUCCUACGGGAGGCAGCAGUGGGGAAUAUUGCACAAUGGGCGGAAGCCUGAUGCAGCAACGCCGCGUGCGGGAUGACGGCCUUCGGGUUGUAAACCGCUUCCGCCUGUGACGAAGCGUGAGUGACGGUAAUGGGUAAAGAAGCACCGGCUAACUACGUG
rnacentral:rRNA from 1 species